rnacentral:rRNA from 1 species
GACAGAGGGUGCAAACGUUGUUCGGAAUUACUGGGCGUAAAGCGCGUGUAGGCUGCUCUGAAAGUCGGAUGUGAAAGCCCUGGGCUCAACCUAGGAAGAGCACUCGAUACUACAGAGCUUGAGUCCUGGAGAGGAAGGCGGAAUUUACGGUGUAGCGGUGAAAUGCGUAGAUAUCGUAAGGAAGACCAGUGGCGAAGGCGGGUCUCUGGACAGUUCCUGACGCUGAGGCACGAAGGUCAGGGGAGCAAACGGG